UUCUGGUCUCAAAUCAGGUAGGAUCACCCGCUGAACUUAAGCAUAUCA
rnacentral:rRNA from 1 species